rnacentral:rRNA from 1 species
AGUGAACGCUGGCGGUAGGCUUAACACAUGCAAGUCGAACGGCAGCACAGUAAGAUCUUGCUCUUAUGGGUUGCGAGUGGCGUACGGGUGACGAAUAUAUCGUAAUCUACUUUUUCGUGUGGGUUAACGUAGCGAAACUUACUCUAAUAUCGCAUACGAUCUACGGUUGAAAGCAGUGGAUCGUCGGAGCUUGCGCGAUUGAAUGAGCCGAUGUCGGAGUAGCUAGUUGGCGGGGUAAAGGCCCACCAAGGCGACGAUCCGUAGCUGGUCUGAGAGGAUGAUCAGCCACACGGGAACUGAAACACGGUCCAGGCGCCUGCGGGAGGCAGCAGUGGGGAAUAUUGGACAAUGGGGGCAAGCCUGAUCCAGCCAGCCCGCGUGGGUGACGGAGGCCUUCGGGUUGUAAAGCCCUUUUGUUGGGAAAGAAAAGCUGCAGGUUGAUACCCCGCUGUUCUGACGGUACCCAAAGAAUAAGCACCGGCUAACUUCGUG